rnacentral:rRNA from 1 species
AUUGAACGCUGGCGGAAUGCUUUACACAUGCAAGUCGAACGGCAGCACGGGGCAACCUGGUGGCGAGUGGCGAACGGGUGAGUAAUACAUCGGAACGUGCCCAAUCGUGGGGGAUAACGUAGCGAAAGUUACGCUAAUACCGCAUACGAUCUACGGAUGAAAGCGGGGGAUCGCAAGACCUCGCGCGAGUGGAGCGGCCGAUGUCAGAUUAGGUAGUUGGUGGGGUAAAGGCUCACCAAGCCAACGAUCUGUAGCUGGUCUGAGAGGACGACCAGCCACACUGGAACUGAGACACGGUCCAGACUCCUACGGGAGGCAGCAGUGGGGAAUUUUGGACAAUGGGCGCAAGCCUGAUCCAGCCAUUCCGCGUGCAGGAUGAAGGCCUCGGUUGUAACUGCUUUGUACGACGAACGGACGAGCUCUAAUACAGUUGCUAAUGACGGUACCGUAAGAAUAAGCACCGGCUAACUACGUGCCAGCAGCCGCGGU